rnacentral:tRNA from 1 species
GGCGGAUGUASCCAAGUGGCUCAAGGCAGUGGAUUUGUGAAUCCA